CAGGUUCAAAGCCUGCCUGGCAUUUUGCUUAUUUUCCUUAUCUGUAUGACUCAAAGGCUAGCCCAGGGAUGCUUAGACUUUAGUGUGUAUGCCAGUCACCCAGGGAUCUUGUUAAAUGCAGAUUCCGAUUCAGUCAAUCUGGAUGGAGCCUGAGAUUCUACAUUUCUAACAAGCUCCCAGGUGAUACCGGUGCUCCUCCAAGGUGUGCACGUCCUGUGGCCAAUGGCUUUCCACCCUGGCUGCACAUCGGAGUCACCUGGGGAGUUGUAGAAAGACUGACUUCCGGGUCCUACUCUCAGAUGUUCAUUCAGAUCUAGCUGGUUCAGGGUGUGACUCCCCAGGUGACUCUCAACAGUCAGGCUUGAGAACUGUUGGGCUGACCUGCUCACCCUUCAACCUCUGCCUACUGGCUCCUCCUCAACCUGCCAGUGUGGCCUGCUCAUACCCGCUCCGCACUGCACCCCUGGGCGCUCUUCUUCCUUGUCCUUGGCAUUCAUGGAGAGCUUGUGGUGGACCAGGAACUUUCCAUACGACCUGAAGAGGUUAGCGCCACUUUCAGCCCCAUUUUGCACGUAGGGAUACUGAGGUUUGGAGAGUGAUGUUUCUUGUCCUAGGUCACACGGGCUAUUAAGAAGCAGCAUCAGGACCCAGCCAUAUCUCUGUCUCUGGAGCAUAAAAGCAGCUGAGUGCGUGUUUAAAAGGAUGACCUCUGGAGGAGCCAUUACUUACUAGUUGUGUGACCUUGGGUCUUCCUCUGUAAAAUGGGAGGUGGUACAAGUGCCCAUUUCUCAGGACUCUCAGGAGCAUGCAAUGAAAUGACCUGUGUAAACCAUGGCCCCAGGGCCUGAACCACAGGAAAGGUUUCACUAUUUCUCAACACCAUAUGGCUUCUCCUUGGUACUUCCUAUGGGCCCUUCUUCCUUGGCACUGGGGAGAAAGGUAUGAGUAUGAGAUGGGUGUGAUUUUUUUUGAUUCAUGUUUUCGAAUGUGUUUCCUUUGCCCCAUGGGGCCUUGCAAUGGAGGUGGUGGAUUCACCAGUGUCGGUCAGUUGAUAAAAUUUACACUUUAGUCACUGGAAGAUAAUCAUAUUCUGUUUCAUAUUAGAAACAGAAGUGUCAUAU
rnacentral:lncRNA from 1 species